UCUACAAAUCAAAUCUACAAAACCACAGGGUUGCUUACUUCUGAGCCAUUUAUCCUGAUGGGUCGGCUAAAUGCUGUGACUUCAUACAGGAACUGGGAGGCUGAGUGGGUGUUACCAUUGAGGGCAACCAUGGUCUUGGUUUGGGUCUAUUUUCGAAGGGACAUGAACCAAGGAUGGGAGAUUCUCUUUGAAGGCUGCAAGUUUAACUCGCUUGUUUAGUUUCUCCUCACCAUCAGCAAGAAGAAAAAUUAUAGGCUCUCCAAAGACCGUGGUUAUUGAGUUUUAGCCUGCAUCGGGAUAAUCUGGACAAGUGCUUCUCCAGCUUUGGCAUGCAACAGAAAUCACCUGCAGGGCCUGAUAAGACAUGGAUUGCUGGGUCCAACCCGCAGCAUUUCUUUCUUUCUUUCUUUCUUUUUUUUUUUGUGAGGAAGAUCAGCCCUGAGCUAACAUCCAUGCCAAUCCUCCACUUUUUGCUGAGGAAGACCGGCCCUGAGCUAACAUCCGUGCCCAUCUUCCUCCACUUUAUAUGGGACGCCGCCACAGCAUGGCCUGCCAAGCAGUGUGUGGGUGCGCACCCAGGAUCUGAACCAGCGAACCCCGGGCCGCCGCACGCACUUAACCGCUUGCGCCACUGGGCCAGCCCCAACCUGCAGCAUUUCUGAUCCAGUAAGUUUGUGUUGGAGCUAAGAAUUUGCAUUUCUCAUAUUCUGAGAACCACAACUCUAGACUGUUGCUACUAAAUGUGAUCUACAAGACAGUAGCAGCAGCAGCACCUGAGAGAUUUGAGCCACACAGAAUCUCAGGCCCACCCCAGACCUACUUUCUCUAAUGAUUCCUGAGUGAUUCGUAUGCACAUUCAAGUUUGAGAGGCAUUGGCUUAGGUCAGGGGUGGCAAACUUUUUCGGUAACGGGCUAGAUAGUAAACAUUUUAAGACUUACGGGCAUAGAGUCUCUGCCACAACUACUGAACUUCACCAUCUUAGCACAAAAGCAGCCAUAGACUGAGUGUGACUGUGUGCCAAUAAAACUUUAUUUACAAAAACAGACAGUGGGCUGGAUUUGGUCCCCUGGUCCUAGUUCAUCAACUUCUGGCUUAGAAUGUGUGUGUUUGUGGGUUAUGUUGUAUUUUAUUUUUUAAAUGUUGUUUCACUUCCCACAGAGUCUGUUCCAGUAGUUCUAGGGUUGGACCUGCUAUCUGUAUUUUCAACAAACACCUGAGGAAAUUUUGAUUCAGGUGGUCAGCAAAUCAUACUUUGGGAAACACUUUCACCCAUCAUUUUCCUUUGCAAUAUCGAGUUAUUUUAUUAGAUAUUUAUGGUUUUCUUUUAAAUAGCUCGUAAAAAGAAAAAUAAAACUCUCUGAUCUAUUCAUCUUUUCAACAGCACUCUUCCGUGUUCUUCCAAAUGUUGGCCACACUAGGGUUGGGCUGGUACAAAUUAGAUGUAUGUUUCCCCAACAGAGCAAACUGAACACCGUAAGGAAGCUGGGCUCCUGGAAGUGUUGCUGCUGCACACAUUUUCCCGUAAGGAAAGAGGACACACUGCAUGCGCAUUUAAGCAGGAAACUCAUUGCAGAAGAAAAUUAGAAGCAAUGAGAAGUGCAGAUCCUUCUCCUUUAUUGCUGCUCUAAUUUUUUCAAACCAGAACUCAACUGCUACAGCUAAAAUCCUCAGGGAAUAGUUUUAUGAUUAAAGCCAAAGAAACAGUAUUGUGCAUUUACUUGCUCUAAAUUCUAUAUCAAGCAGAGAAAGGGAGGAAAACAAAGACAGCUGUGAAAUGGACUUUGUUCUCAUUCUCUAAAUGGCUAGUUGCUUCUUUUAUAAAAGUAGAUUUGAGUUGACAUUUUAUGUCUUAAUAACCUGUCCUUUCUCACCAACUCUCCUUUCCGCCCAGAAGCACUAGUUCUGUAAUAAGUCUAUGAACUUUUCUGUUGCCAUUCUUCUUAUUUUGCUUAACAGAGUUCUGGGCAUUAUCCUACACCAUACACAAAAAUUAACUCAAAAUGGAUUAAAGACUUGAAUGUAAGAUCAGAAACCGUGAAACUUCUAGAAGAAACCAUUGGUGGUACGCUCUUUGAUAUCGAUCUUAGCAGCAUAUUUCCAAGCACCAUGUCUGACCGGGCAAGGGAAACAAUGGAAAAAAUAAACAGAACUACAUCAAACUAAAAAGCUUCUGCACAGCAAAGGAAACCAUCAACAAGACAAAAAGACAACCUAAGAAUUGGGAGAAGAUAUUUGCAAACCAUAUAUCAGAUCAGAGGUUAAUAUUCAAAAUUUAUAAAGAAUUAUACAUCUCAACCACAAAAAAACUAAGAACCCAGUUAAAAAAUGGGCAAAAGAUCUAAACAGACAUUUCUCCAAAGAAGAUAUACAGAUGGCCAACAGGCUCAUGAAAAGACGUUCAAUGUCGCUACUUAUCAGGGAAACGCAAAUCAAAACUACAAUGAGGUAUCACCUCAUACCCAUCAGAAUGCCUAUAUUUAACAAGACAGGAAAAGACAAGUGUUGGAGAGGAUGUGGAGAGAAGGGAACUCUCAUACACCGCUGGAGGGGGUGCAAACUGGUGCAGCCACAGUGGAAAACAGUAGGGAGAUUCCCCAAAAAAUUAAGAAUAGAACUACCAUACGAUCCAGCUAUUCCACUGCUGGGUGUUUAUCCAAAGAACAUGAAAACAUGAAGGUGUAAAGAUAUAUGAACCCUUAUGUUCAUUGCAGCGUUAUUCACAAUAGCCAAGACUUGGAAGCAACCCAGGUGCCCGCUGAGGGAUGAAUGGAUAAAGAAGAUGUGGUAUAUAUACACAAUGGAAUACUACUCAGCCAUAAAAACAGAUGAAACCUUGCCAUUUGUGACAACAUGGAUGGACAUUGAGGGUAUUAUGCUAAGCGAAAUAAGACUGAGGGAGAAAGUCAAAUACCGUGUGAUCUCACUCACAAGUGGAAGAUAAAAACAACAACAAACAAACACAUAGAGACAGAGAUUGGGUUGGUGGUUACCAGAGGGGAAGGGGGAGGGAGGAGAGCGAAAAGCGUGACAGGGCACAUGUGCAUGGUGAUGGACUAAUUAGUUUGAGUGGUGAACAUGAUGUAAUCUACACACAAAUCAAAAUAUAAUGAUGUACACCCAAAAUUUAUAUAAUGUUAUAAACCAAUGUUACCACAAUAAAAGAAAGAAACAGCAAUACUAGACCCAGAUGAGUAACGGCUCCAGAUAUGGGAAUUACUAGGCAUAAGCUGAGGAGUCCAUCUCCUGCUUAAAAACCUUCGAGCUAUAGACUGAAUGUUGGUGUCCCCCAAAAUUCGUAUGUUGAAGACCUAAUCCCCAAUGUGAUGGUAUUUGGUGGGGCCUCUGGUAUUUAAUUAGGUUUAGAUGACAUCACAGGAUGGAGACCCAUGAUGGAAUUAGUGCUCUUAUUAAAAGAGGAAGAGACUAGACCCUACUUUCUCUCUGCCAUAUGAGGACACCAUGAAAAGCCGGCCAUCCAUGAACCAGGAAGCAGACCCUCACGAGACGCUGAAUCUGCCAGCACCUUGAUCUCAAACUCCCAGCCUCCAGGACUGUGAGAAAUAAAUGUGUGUUGUUUAAACCAAAAAAAAAAAAAAACGAAUUCUGGGAAGCAAUACAUGAAAAGAAAUUUAAUUUUUAAUGAGUAGAUAUGAAAAUUACAAACAUUGUGUUUUUAAUAUAUUUUUUA